UACGUAGGGUGCGAGCGUUAAUCGGAAUUACUGGGCGUAAAGCGUGCGCAGGCGGUUGUGCAAGACAGAGGUGAAAUCCCCGGGCUUAACCUGGGAAUGGCCUUUGUGACUGCACGGCUAGAGUGUGUCAGAGGGGGGUAGAAUUCCACGUGUAGCAGUGAAAUGCGUAGAGAUGUGGAGGAAUACCGAUGGCGAAGGCAGCCCCCUGGGAUAACACUGACGCUCAUGCACGAAAGCGUGGGGAGCAAACAGGAUUAGAUACCCUGGUAGUCCACGCCCUAAACGAUGUCAACUAGUUGUCGGGGAUUAAUUUUCUUGGUAACGCAGCUAACGCGUGAAGUUGACCGCCUGGGGAGUACGGUCGCAAGAUUAAA
rnacentral:rRNA from 1 species